GAUGAAGAACGCAGCGAAAUGCGAUAAGUAAUGUGAAUUGCAGAAUUCCGUGAAUCAUCGAAUCUUUGAACGCACAUUGCGCCCCUUGGUAUCCCGAGGGGCAUGCCUGUUCGAGCGUCAUUUCACCACUCAAGCCUGGCUUGGUGUUGGGCGACGUCCCCUUUGGGGACGCGCCUCGAAACGCUCGGCGGCGUGGCACCGGCUUUAAGCGUAGCAGAAUCUUUCGCUUUGGAAGUCGGGGCCCCGUCUGCCGGAAGACCUACUCGCAAGGUUGACCUCGGAUCAGGCAGGGAUACCCGCUGAACUUAAGCAUAUCAAUAAGCGGAGGA
rnacentral:misc_RNA from 1 species